rnacentral:lncRNA from 1 species
ACCUGAAUGGCUAGAGAUCAAAAAAAUAUGUAGUCAAACUCAGUAGCCUCGCUGCAAAUAGCUGAUGACACUGCAGAUCAAAGGACCACUCACACCACUGUAGCAUCGAGAAGAUCACUGAUGAGUGAGUAGAUAUCCAAGUGAUUUCUCGUGUUGGUCACGCUCAGUGCAAAUUAUUCUCUAACAACCACCCACACCCUCACCCCAGUAUCGCUACACUGUAGACUCGAGACUCAUCUACCCAUAAGGAAUGUGAACUGUGCAUUGAUCUCGAAUGGAUGGAUCACAUCCUCUAUGACGAUCCUUUGAUCAGAAAUAUUU